rnacentral:rRNA from 1 species
UACGGAGGGUGCAAGCGUUAUCCGGAUUCACUGGGUUUAAAGGGUGCGUAGGUGGGCAGGUAAGUCAGUGGUGAAAUCUCCGGGCUUAACUCGGAAACUGCCAUUGAUACUAUCUGUCUUGAAUACCGUGGAGGUCAGCGGAAUAUGUCAUGUAGCGGUGAAAUGCUUAGAUAUGACAUAGAAUACCCAUUGCGAAGGCAGCUAACUACGCGAUAAUUGACGCUGAUGCACGAAAGCGUGGGGAUCAAACAGG